CUUUUCUCCCCCAGAGUUAUGCCCAUGUCAUUAAGAGUGACCGACACAUGUGGCUCCUCCUCGGAGUCGUCGUCCUCCUCUUCAGGCUCGGUAUGAGUUACAGCCAGCCAUUCCUAGUGUGUGAUUCUUCCCGAUAGGAAGGGCAGUUAUUAGGCACUGCAUUAACCAUUCACCACCCCAUUGCCAAAUGCCGUCCUCUUUACUUCAUCCAUACUCUGGUC